UACGUAGGGGGCAAGCGUUGUCCGGAAUCAUUGGGCGUAAAGGGCUCGUAGGCGGCCAACUAAGUCAGAUGUGAAAUCCCCAGGCUUAACCUGGGAACUGCAUCUGAUACUGGAUGGCUUGAAUCCGGGAGAGGGAUGCAGAAUUCCAGGUGUAGCGGUGAAAUGCGUAGAUAUCUGGAGGAAUACCGGUGGCGAAGGCGGCAUCCUGGACCGGCAUUGACGCUGAGGAGCGAAAGCUAGGGGAGCAAACGGG
rnacentral:rRNA from 1 species